rnacentral:rRNA from 1 species
UAGGGAAUCUUCCACAAUGGGCGGCAAGCCUGAUGGAGCAACACCGCGUGAGUGAAGAAGGGUUUCGGCUCAUAAAGCUCUGUUGUUAAAGAAGAACACGUAUGAGAGUAACUGUUCAUACGUUGACGGUAUUUAACCAGAAAGUCACGGCUAACUACGUGCCAG